rnacentral:rRNA from 1 species
UACAGAGGUCUCAAGCGUUGUUCGGAAUCACUGGGCGUAAAGGGUGCGUAGGCCGCACGGUAAGUCAGAGGUGAAAUCCCGGAGCUCAACUCCGGAAUUGCCUCCGAUACUGCCGUGCUCGAGGACUGGAGAGGAGUCUGGAAUUCACAGUGGAGCAGUGAAAUGCGUAGAUAUUGUGAGGAACACUAGUGGCGAAGGCGAGACUCUGGACAGUUCCUGACGCUGAGGCACGAAGGCCAGGGGAGCAAACGGG